AUUGAACGCUGGCGGCAGGCUUACCACAUGCAAGUCGAGCGAGCGGCGGACGGGUGAGUAAUGUCUGGGAAACUGCCUGCUGGAGGGGGAUAACUACUGGAAACGGUAGCUAAUACCGCCUACCAUCAGCUGUGCCCAGAUGGGAUUAGCGAGUAGGUGGGGUAAUGGCUCACCUAGGCGACGAUCCCUAGCUGGUCUGAGAGGAUGACCAGACACACUGGACAUGAGACACGGUCCAGACUCAGACGGUAGGCAGCAGUGGGGAAUAUUGCACAAUGGGCGCAAGCCUGAUGCAGCCAUGCCGCGUGUGUGAAGAAGGCCUUCGGGUUGUAAAGCACUUUCAGCGAGGAGGCGUUACUCGCAGAGGAAGAACGGGCUAACUACGGGCCAGCAGCCGCGGUAAUUC
rnacentral:rRNA from 1 species